rnacentral:lncRNA from 1 species
ACUACAAUAUGGUUACUUUAAUCAAUCCUCUCCUCUACAAUUGGUUCAUCAUUAGGUUCCACUGAUGUGUGCUUGUUACCACCACUAGUGUCCCUUAUAUUCAUGUUACUUAACCUCUCAUCCAUUUGGUGUUUGAUCAAGAACAUUCUUCAUGGUCUUGAUGAUCCUAUAUCAAGAUGAAUAUUUUUUUGGCUCUGAUGACCCUGACAAUCAUGGAACUUCUUGGAAGUCUAAGGUUGAAGAUGUUGUGAUGGUCUUAUCUCUCUUGAUAAAAUUG